GACGAACGCUGGCGGCGUGCUUAACACAUGCAAGUCGAACGGAAAGGCCCCUUUGGGGGUACUCGAGUGGCGAACGGGUGAGUAACGCGUGCGUAACCUGCCCUUGACUUCGGGAUAACUUCAGUAAACUGGGGCUAAUACCGACUAGGAAUCCUUGCUGCAUGGUGGGGGUUGGAAAGCUUCGGCGGUUUUGGAUGGACUCGCGGCUUAUUAGCUUGUUGGUGGGGUAGUGGCUUACCAAGGCUUUGACGGGUAGCCGGCCUGAGAGGGCGACCGGCCAAAUUGGGACCGAGAUACGGCCCAGACUCCUACGGGGGGCAGCAGUGGGGAAUAUUGCACAAUGGGCGGAAGCCUGAUGCAGCAACGCCGCGGGCGGGAUGACGGCCUUCGGGUUGUAAACCGCUUUCAGCAGGGGCGAAGCUUGUGGUGACGGUACCUGCAGAAGAAGCACCGGCUAACUACGUG
rnacentral:rRNA from 1 species